GAAUGGCGGGGGCAGCUGGUGGUGGUGGUGCUGGACUCGCGGUAUCCACAGGAUUGGAGGCAGCAACGCUGCAGAAGCUGGCGCUUCGGCGGAAGAAGGAUUCUAGUGGACUUGCUGAAUCUGAACGUGGCUCCCCUCGCCGUCUUCCAGAUGCUGAAGUCCAUGUGUGCUGGACAGCGGCUGGCAAGCGAUCCCCAGGACUCGGUGUCCAUGUCUCUGUCCACGUCCACAUCAGAGACCCGAGGAAGAAACCGAGGUGGCCCCAUUCUUGGUAAUGUGACUAUAGUGGCAGAACGUGGAAGCCGUGAAAGACCCAUCCAGAGGAUGCCACGCCAGCCCAGUGCUACUAGGCUGCCCAAGGUGGGAGGACCUGGAAAAAGUAACUCCCGAAGCAGCCCAUAGGCUAGAACAGAGAUUGCACUUGACACACACUCCUCAAGGCAGAUGGUGUCCAUCUCUUCAUUUCCUUAAACCCUUCUGAGAAGCUGAACAUCUGUAGCUGCUGUUUUUUGAUACUAUUAAAAGACUUAGAUUUAGAGUGGAUUCUAUGUGGAGUCCACCUUUCUGCUGUAUAUGGUUUUGCUACAGUCAAACUUGGACACAUAACAGUGAUUUUUGUCUUUUUAAAUCUUAUUUGGAGUCUAAGAAAAUAUAUAUGAGUCUUCUUAUAAACAAGCCAAUGUGCUUUCCAGAAUGUAAAAAGUUCCCAGAAGGCCCACCUUUCACAGUGUUGGUAGGUACGGGUACCAGUAUGGUUGCCUGGUGAGUCCACACCUCAGUAUGGAUGGGCUGUUACCCUCUGGAUCAUACAUGUUGUGAAGACUUCAGUAACAUGCAUUUACCCCUCCCCGCCAAACCUCCCUUUUAACAGUUAACCCAGUAUUAGGAAUUCUGUGGCCAUUGCCCACACAGAUAUGUUUUAGAUUCUCUAUUUCUUUUCUCUUUCUGUCUCUCUCCUUUUUUGUUUGUUUAAAUUGAUAAAGGUGCUUACUUUAUAACCCAUGCUGGCCUGCACCUCAAUAUCCCCUGUCAUCUGCCUCCUUAGUUCUGGGACUGAAGUUCAUGUCCAUGCCACUCUCACCAUGCCAGGCUGAACUUUUUUUAUUUUUAUUUUUUUUAACUUUAGUUAGCAUGCCUCCUCAGUGUAGGAAUGAUCAAGCAUAUGCUUUAAGUGGGCCCAAGCCUCUGCCAUGAUUGUGAUGUUGCUGAGCCAGCCUCCUGUUCCUUGGCCUUGUCUGUCCAAGAUCAUAGUUGGGAAAGGGCUAAUAGUUACUGCUCACCUGACUGAGAAGGAAGAAAGUACCCAUGGUGCUUGAAUUGAAAGAGCCAGACUUGGGGUCAAUAUCAGGCUACUGGGAAAAUUCCACCACAAACCUCUGAGUAAAAAGACCCCUCUCUUCCAGGAGAAGUAGAAGUAGAGCUAGUUUAGUUCCUGAAACAGCUGCAAGCCAAACUGUUGAACAAAAUCACCUGUGACUCCCAACCAAAAGUCCUGAAUGGUAAAUUGAGUGGAUUUGGAAGUUGUUUCACUCCACCAAAUGCACAUAGUACCCUGCCUAGUUACCACUGUGCAAAUCUGCCCCAAUUGUUUGCAAGGUUAACUCUCCCUGUUAGAGUCUGCUCCCCUUGAAGUGGGAAGGCCCCAACACGUCAGAAUGAAUAAACUCCUUGCUUUUGCAUCACUGCCUCUGUUAGUCUCAUUCAAGAGGUCCCAGAAAGGUUCAAUUUGUACCUCACAGAAUCAAGUCCAGAUACAGUAGCCACUUUCUCUUUAAUGGAAGACACAUUGUAGAUACUCUUCCAUGACUCCCUUCUUACAUUCUGGAGAAAACAUUAUUUCCAUUACCACCCCGGCAGGCAGCCCUCCUGUGACUGUUGUGGCUAUCAUGGUUUAAGGAGAAGGCCUACUCUGUGUUGAAGACAGGUACUGUGAGUUUGAGAAUCAAGAUUUCAGAGGUGUCAGCAGCAAUGCAUAGGGCCAAACAGAUUAACAAAAUUAUUCUCAAAGGAUAAGGUGCUAAACAUUUUAGAUUUGGUUUGCCACAACUGCUCAACUGUGCCAAAGUACUACAGAAACAAGCACACAACCUAUACAUGAUUGGUUGUAGCUGUGUAAUUCUGUGUGAAAUGAGGCAGCUGUCUUCACGUUCAGAAAAGGAUAAUCCCAGAGAAAACAUGAUAGGUGUGAUGGUUUGUAUAUGCUCACCCUAGAGAGUGGCACUAUUAGAGGGUGUGACUCUUUUGGAGUAGAUAUGGCCUUGUUGGAGUAGGUAUGUCACUGUGGGCAUGGACUUAACACCCUCAUCCUAGCUGCCUGGAAGUCAGCCUUCAAAUGAAGAUAUAGAACUCUCAGCUUCUCUUGCACAUUGCCUGCCUGGAUGCUGCCAUAUUUCCACCUUUAAGAUAAUGGACUGAACUUCUGAAACUAUAAACCAGCCCUAAUUAAAUGUUGUCCUUAUAAGA
rnacentral:lncRNA from 1 species